rnacentral:rRNA from 1 species
GUGGCGAACGGGUGAGUAACACGUGGGUAACCUGCCCAUAAGAGGGGGAUAACAUCCGGAAACGGGUGCUAAUACCGCAUAGUUUUCUUGAUCGCAUGAUUGAGAAAGGAAAGACGGCCUUUGUGCUGUCGCUUAUGGAUGGACCCGCGGCGUAUUAGUUAGUUGGUGAGGUAAUGGCUCACCAAGACGAUGAUACGUAGCCGACCUGAGAGGGUGAUCGGCCACAUUGGGACUGAGACACGGCCCAAACUCCUACGGGAGGCAGCAGUAGGGAAUCUUCCGCAAUGGACGAAAGUCUGACGGAGCAACGCCGCGUGAGUGAAGAAGGUUUUCGGAUCGUAAAACUCUGUUGUCAGAGAAGAACAAGUUGGAGAGUAACUGCUCCAGCCUUGACGGUAUCUGACCAGAAAGCCACGGCUAACUACGUGCCAGCAGCCGCGGUAAUACGUAGGUGGCAAGCGUUGUCCGGAUUUAUUGGGCGUAAAGCGAGCGCAGGCGGUUCCUUAAGUCUGAUGUGAAAGCCCACG